GACGAACGCUGGCGGCGUGCCUAUACAUGCAAGUCGAACCGUUUUGGUCCAAGAGGCUUUGCUUUUUGGACUAGACAGGGGCGGACGGGGGAGUAACACGUAGGCCACCUACCUGGCAAACCCGGGUAAACCCGGGGAAACGAAGCCAAAACCGGGUAAGGCCCUUUUUUGCCUGAAGGGGGGGGGAAAAGGUUCGGACCGAUGGCAGGUGGGCCUGCGGCGCAUUAGCUAGUAGGUAGGGUAACGGCCUACCUAGGCGAUGAUGCGUAGCCGACCUGAGAGGGCGUACGGCCACACUGGGACUGAGAUACGGCCCAGACUCCUACGGGAGGCAGCAGUAGGGAAUCUUCGGCAAUGGGCGAAAGCCUGACCGAGCAACGCCGCGUGAGUGAGGAAGGCCUUCGGGUUGUAAAACUCUGUUGUUUGGGAAGAAGGGAAAGGGUAGGACCCUUUGGUGACGGUACCAAACGAGAAAGCCCCGGCUAACUACGUG
rnacentral:rRNA from 1 species